rnacentral:rRNA from 1 species
UACGUAGGUGGCAAGCGUUGUCCGGAUUUACUGGGCGUAAAGAGCGUGUAGGCGGCCCGGUAAGUCCGCUGUGAAAGUCGGGGGCUCAACCCUCGAAUGCCGGUGGAUACUGUCGGGCUAGAGUGCGGAAGAGGCGAGUGGAAUUCCUGGUGUAGCGGUGAAAUGCGCAGAUAUCAGGAGGAACACCAAUUGCGAAGGCAGCUCGCUGGGACGUAACUGACGCUGAGACGCGAAAGCGUGGGGAGCAAACAGG